rnacentral:lncRNA from 1 species
GAUACAAUUUAUUUUUUUUAUGAGCUGAUUAGAGAUUACGAAACAAGUUUAAAAUCAGCGGAAUUAGUAGCCACUAUUCCUGUAUAAGCUAUGUCCUACAAGGUAUCGUUUAAUUUAAAACCCAAGUCAUACUCAUAUGGUUUUUAAAGUGUUCUUCAUUUCACUAUUGGUAAUGAUAUCAGUGAAUUCGGUGACGGAACUCCAACACUUUGGUUUCGACCCUAAGAACCUAACUAUAAGGGUUUUUUACGUCACUGCACCGAUAAAUUAAAAUAGGAAUAGAGAAAUCUAUAUUGAUGCACUUCCUUACAAUGUGUGGAAAAACGUUGUUAUUAUUCAGCAACGUAUUGAUGACAAAUAUGUUUUCACAAUUAACGUAAAUGGAGCAAACGCAUUUUCUGAAAAUAAUGCCAAACCCCAAAAAUUUGACAACGUGAAAGUUUUUGCUUCCGAUCAGUAGUAUUCAUCUCAAGAUGGAUCAAUAAAAAAUCUCAUUCUUAAAAACGGGGAGCCUAGUAUUACUUUUUUUUUAACGCUCUUUUUUACUAUUUUUGUCUAACGCAUUUAAAAUCAGGCGUAUCAAAGAGUCUGCUGUUUCGUUUUGUAUUUUAAUAAUUAAAAGUGUACAUUCAAAAACUUUUAAAUGCACUAUUUGUUAUUUUUUUAUAUCUAAACUAGUUUCAUAAACAGUACUUUUAUUUUUUACACUUUUACUUUUAAUGAAUUGUCUAACUGAAUUUAAAUGGAUUCUAUUAUUCGCAAGUUAUUUUAGGUGAAUCUUUUCCGAAAGCCGUACUGAAGUCGAAAUAUUUUGUGGAUAACGAAGUUGAAGAGACACUGAAGAAAAAUAACUUGGUUGCGAUUUUGUCAAAAUUAGAACAAUCAUUCGAUUUUUAUUUCGAUUUAAAACUCAACAGUUUUUCAGAUGGAUUUAGGUGUGUCAUUCAUUUGACUAUAUGAGAGGAUAAUUCAAAAUACGGUGAUCGAAUUCUUGGUAUUUGGGUUUUUAAGCAAAUGUUACACGUUGGUUUUGCAAUAAACAAUAAUAAAAAUGAAUAUUUUGAAUCCAAGCCACUUCAACAAGGCCAGUGGAUAAAUGUUCAUAUACGUCAGCACGCUGAAUCUGGAAGUGCUUCUUUUACUUUAUAUAUCAACAACGAAAAUGUAUAUACUGUACAAAACUUCAACCCACAAGAAUUUACAAAUGUCAAAGUUUACGCGAAAGAUUCGUGAUAUGAAACUCAGGAUGGCUCCAUUAAAAUGUUCAAUAUCAUUAAUGGAUAUUUAGGUAAAUUCUAAAACUUUGACAUGAAAGCUUGAACGACUGCUGCAUCGAUUUUAUAUUGGAUUGUUUGCUUUCAUCGUUUUUAUUCUUUUAUUUUAAUUAGAUGAGAAAAAGGAAUUAAAAAAGGACGCCAUACGAAAAAAGUCAUUUUGGUUAAAUAGUUAAUGUUUUUUAACGUCAUAGUUUUUUAUUUCACGUUUGUAUUUUUUGUACUUUUGAUAGUUUUUGUAGUAUGUAAUUUUUGAUGUUUUGAAUUUGUAUUUUUUAAUUUUUUUGUAAGUUUUCUACUUUUUUGUGUAACACUUUUUUAUUAGGUAAAUCCUAAAGCUUUUACAUGAAAGCUUGAACGACUGCUGCAUCGGUUUUAUAUUGGAUUGUUUGCUUUCAUCGUUUUUAUUCUUUUAUUUUAAUUAGAUGAGAAAAAGGAAUUAAAAAAGGACGCCAUACGAAAGAAGUCAUUUUGGUUAAAUAGUUAAUGUUUUUUAACGUCAUAGUUUUUUAUUUCAAGUUUGUAUUUUUUGUACUUUUGAUAGUUUUUGCAGUAUGUAAUUUUUGAUGUUUUGAAUUUGUAUUUUUUAAUUUUUUUGUAAGUUUUCUACUUUUUUGUGUAACACUUUUUUAUUAGGUAAAUCCUAAAGCUUUUACAUGAAAGCUUGAACGACUGCUGCAUCGGUUUUA